ensembl:lncRNA
GUCGGGUCACUCACUGCAAUGAAGCUGUUUUCCUCCUGUGUAGGAGUCACAAGGUGCUGUUUCUCCCCCUCUGCUGAAAUUCACUUGUUCUGCCGCCUUUUCUUUCAAAGAGAUGUUUGUGGGUUGUGACUGAGCACCGGUCCCAGCUCUGUGGCAUAGAUGGUACUUUCAACGGUUGUUGUCACUAUGACUUACGCUACAACUUGUUAGUCAUACAGUCAGUUGGGCUCAGAUACUAGAAAACUGUCCAAUCACAGUCCUCCCCUAUAAUCCACAACCACGGAAUUGAAUCACAUCACUCAGUCGGCUGGUUGCUGCUGAUUGCAUGUGCCCCUUCAAGCAUCAUCCAGGCAGCUCAUCCAAUGGUGAAUUUGUAAUAACUAUAAAGAGCUCCUGGUCUGUAGAUUAAUGUUAUGUUACGUAUCCACUCUAACCACAGGUUACGUAAAUGUGUGUAUCCACUCUAACCACAGGUAACGUAAUGUUACGUAAAUGUGUGUAUCCACUCUAACCACAGGUAACGUAAUGUUACGUAAAUGUGUGUAUCCACUCUAACCACAGGUAACGUAAUGUUACGUAAAUGUGUGUAUCCACUCUAACCACAGGUUACGUAAAUGUGUGUAUCCACUCUAACCACAGGUAUUGUAGUGUACAUUGCAUGUAGGGUUAAGACCUCUAUUUGGCCUGCUGGCUGGGUAAUCCUAUGGAUGUUAGUGUUAGUGUUUGUCAGACAGUUUUGUAAGACAGACUAUGCACUUCUACUGACAUGGGAUGAAGUAGUGGGAGUGGGGUUACACACGCUGCCUGGGUGGGCGUGGCGUCAUGAGAGCAUCUGGAAUUGGUCGAUGACUGUUUGUGUGACGUGUGUGAAGAGUUGUGGGGGGUGGUGGGCAUCCCUCAAUAGCUGAACCAAAGCAGUCCCAUCCCGGAGGGAAUGAAAGAGGGAUGGGGGAAUGAAAGAAAGGAG